rnacentral:rRNA from 1 species
CCUACGGGUGGCAGCAGUGGGGAAUAUUGCACAAUGGGGGAAACCCUGAUGCAGCGACGCCGCGUGAGUGAUGAAGGAUCUCGGUAUGGAAAGCUCCAUCAGCAGGGAAGAUAAUGACGGUACCUGACUAAGAAGCUCCGGCUAAAUACGUGCCAGCAGCCGCGGUAAUACGGAGGGAGCAAGCGUUAUCCGGAUUUACUGGGUGUUAAGGGAGCGCAGGCGGCAGGGCAAGUCGGUUGUGAAAGUCCGGGGCUCAACCCCGGGACUGCAUUGGAAACUGUCCGGCUAGAGUGCAGGAGAGGUAAGUGGAAUGCGUGGUGUAGCGGUGAAAUGCGUAGAUAUUAGGCAGAACACCAGUGGCGAAGGCGGCUUACUGGACUGUAACUGACGUUGAGGCACGAAAGCGUGGGGAGCAAACAGGAUUAGAUACCCGAGUAGUC